rnacentral:rRNA from 1 species
CCUACGGGGGGCAGCAGUGGGGAAUAUUGCGCAAUGGGCGAAAGCCUAACGCAGCGACGCCGCGUGAGGGAUGAAGGUUUUCGGAUCGUACACCUCUGUCAGCAGGGAAGAACGGUCACUGUGCUAAUCAGCAGUGAAUUGACGGUACCUGCAAAGGAAGCACCGGCUAACUCCGUGCCAGCAGCCGCGGUAAUACGGAGGGUGCGAGCGUUAAUCGGAAUUAUUGGGCGUAAAGCGCUCGUAGGCGGUAUGUCAAGUCAAGGGUGAAAGCCCCGCGCUCAACGCUGGAACUGCCUUUGAAACUGGCAGGCUGGAGUGUGUGGGAGGAUGGUGGAAUUCCAGGUGUAGGAGUGAAAUCCGUAGAUAUCAGGAAGAACAUCGGUGGCGAAGGCAGCUAUCUGGGACAUGACUGACGCUGAGGAGCGAAAGCGUGGGUAGCAAACAGGAUUAGAUACCCCUGUAGUC